rnacentral:rRNA from 2 species
UUAAGCGACUAAGCGUACACGGUGGAUGCCCUGGCAGUCAGAGGCGAUGAAGGACGUGCUAAUCUGCGAUAAGCGUCGGUGAGGUGAUAUGAACCGUUAUAACCGGCGAUUUCCGAAUGGGGAAACCCAGUGUGUUUCGACACACUAUCAUUAACUGAAUCCAUAGGUUAAUGAGGCGAACCGGGGGAACUGAAACAUCUAAGUACCCCGAGGAAAAGAAAUCAACCGAGAUUCCCCCAGUAGCGGCGAGCGAACGGGGAGGAGCCCAGAGCCUGAAUCAGUGUGUGUGUUAGUGGAAGCGUCUGGAAAGGCGUGCGAUACAGGGUGACAGCCCCGUACACAAAAAUGCACAUAUUGUGAGCUCGAUGAGUAGGGCGGGACACGUGGUAUCCUGUCUGAAUAUGGGGGGACCAUCCUCCAAGGCUAAAUACUCCUGACUGACCGAUAGUGAACCAGUACCGUGAGGGAAAGGCGAAAAGAACCCCGGCGAGGGGAGUGAAAAAGAACCUGAAACCGUGUACGUACAAGCAGUGGGAGCCUCUUAAUGGGGUGACUGCGUACCUUUUGUAUAAUGGGUCAGCGACUUAUAUUCUGUAGCAAGGUUAACCGAAUAGGGGAGCCGAAGGGAAACCGAGUCUUAACUGGGCGUUAAGUUGCAGGGUAUAGACCCGAAACCCGGUGAUCUAGCCAUGGGCAGGUUGAAGGUUGGGUAACACUAACUGGAGGACCGAACCGACUAAUGUUGAAAAAUUAGCGGAUGACUUGUGGCUGGGGGUGAAAGGCCAAUCAAACCGGGAGAUAGCUGGUUCUCCUCGAAAGCUAUUUAGGUAGCGCCUCGUGAAUUCAUCUCCGGGGGUAGAGCACUGUUUCGGCAAGGGGGUCAUCCCGACUUACCAACCCGAUGCAAACUGCGAAUACCGGAGAAUGUUAUCACGGGAGACACACGGCGGGUGCUAACGUCCGUCGUGAAGAGGGAAACAACCCAGACCGCCAGCUAAGGUCCCAAAGUCAUGGUUAAGUGGGAAACGAUGUGGGAAGGCCCAGACAGCCAGGAUGUUGGCUUAGAAGCAGCCAUCAUUUAAAGAAAGCGUAAUAGCUCACUGGUCGAGUCGGCCUGCGCGGAAGAUGUAACGGGGCUAAACCAUGCACCGAAGCUGCGGCAGCGACGCUUAUGCGUUGUUGGGUAGGGGAGCGUUCUGUAAGCCUGUGAAGGUGGCCUGUGAGGGUUGCUGGAGGUAUCAGAAGUGCGAAUGCUGACAUAAGUAACGAUAAAGCGGGUGAAAAGCCCGCUCGCCGGAAGACCAAGGGUUCCUGUCCAACGUUAAUCGGGGCAGGGUGAGUCGACCCCUAAGGCGAGGCCGAAAGGCGUAGUCGAUGGGAAACAGGUUAAUAUUCCUGUACUUGGUGUUACUGCGAAGGGGGGACGGAGAAGGCUAUGUUGGCCGGGCGACGGUUGUCCCGGUUUAAGCGUGUAGGCUGGUUUUCCAGGCAAAUCCGGAAAACCAAGGCUGAGGCGUGAUGACGAGGCACUACGGUGCUGAAGCGACAAAUGCCCUGCUUCCAGGAAAAGCCUCUAAGCAUCAGGUAACAUCAAAUCGUACCCCAAACCGACACAGGUGGUCAGGUAGAGAAUACCAAGGCGCUUGAGAGAACUCGGGUGAAGGAACUAGGCAAAAUGGUGCCGUAACUUCGGGAGAAGGCACGCUGAUAUGUAGGUGAAGCGACUUGCUCGUGGAGCUGAAAUCAGUCGAAGAUACCAGCUGGCUGCAACUGUUUAUUAAAAACACAGCACUGUGCAAACACGAAAGUGGACGUAUACGGUGUGACGCCUGCCCGGUGCCGGAAGGUUAAUUGAUGGGGUUAGCGGCAACGCGAAGCUCUUGAUCGAAGCCCCGGUAAACGGCGGCCGUAACUAUAACGGUCCUAAGGUAGCGAAAUUCCUUGUCGGGUAAGUUCCGACCUGCACGAAUGGCGUAAUGAUGGCCAGGCUGUCUCCACCCGAGACUCAGUGAAAUUGAACUCGCUGUGAAGAUGCAGUGUACCCGCGGCAAGACGGAAAGACCCCGUGAACCUUUACUAUAGCUUGACACUGAACAUUGAGCCUUGAUGUGUAGGAUAGGUGGGAGGCUUUGAAGUGUGGACGCCAGUCUGCAUGGAGCCGACCUUGAAAUACCACCCUUUAAUGUUUGAUGUUCUAACGUUGGCCCGUAAUCCGGGUUGCGGACAGUGUCUGGUGGGUAGUUUGACUGGGGCGGUCUCCUCCUAAAGAGUAACGGAGGAGCACGAAGGUUGGCUAAUCCUGGUCGGACAUCAGGAGGUUAGUGCAAUGGCAUAAGCCAGCUUGACUGCGAGCGUGACGGCGCGAGCAGGUGCGAAAGCAGGUCAUAGUGAUCCGGUGGUUCUGAAUGGAAGGGCCAUCGCUCAACGGAUAAAAGGUACUCCGGGGAUAACAGGCUGAUACCGCCCAAGAGUUCAUAUCGACGGCGGUGUUUGGCACCUCGAUGUCGGCUCAUCACAUCCUGGGGCUGAAGUAGGUCCCAAGGGUAUGGCUGUUCGCCAUUUAAAGUGGUACGCGAGCUGGGUUUAGAACGUCGUGAGACAGUUCGGUCCCUAUCUGCCGUGGGCGCUGGAGAACUGAGGGGGGCUGCUCCUAGUACGAGAGGACCGGAGUGGACGCAUCACUGGUGUUCGGGUUGUCAUGCCAAUGGCACUGCCCGGUAGCUAAAUGCGGAAGAGAUAAGUGCUGAAAGCAUCUAAGCACGAAACUUGCCCCGAGAUGAGUUCUCCCUGACUCCUUGAGAGUCCUGAAGGAACGUUGAAGACGACGACGUUGAUAGGCCGGGUGUGUAAGCGCAGCGAUGCGUUGAGCUAACCGGUACUAAUGAACCGUGAGGCUUAACCUU